UUGAAAAUGAUCCCACAGAGAAGCACAUUUUUUUUUAAAACUGGGACCAGUAUUGCCAUUUGGGCCAAAAAAAUCAUGGAUCAUCUGCAGCUGCUCUUCUUUCCACUGCCCAGUAGAUAUUACCAGACUGGAUGAUGCUGGUGGGACCCAGCCAGACCUGAUCCAAAUAGAAGUGACUUUUGGAUACUCAGCAAAUGAGGAAAGCCAGUCUAUUAUGGAGCAGGAGCUAGAAAUUGCAUCUUUGGAGUUCUUGUUGGUUGCACUGGCACAGGAAACUGGAGAUAUCGUAUACAGGCAUUGGGACCAUUCAGCAGAGUGUUGUCAGGAGAAGAGGAAGGUUUCAUGGUGUGUUAAAAUCCCUUAACACACUUACAGGAACUCCCUACAGCUAAUAUUAUUGUUAUUCUUUAAAAAUAAAAAAAAAUUAAAGGUAAUUUUCAAUUUAAAGCUAAAAUUAUCAGUGAGAAGUACAUUUUGCCUGGAAAAAUUGCACCUCUCAAGCAGCUAAUAACAUGAGGCUUGGAAAAGAAACACUUAAUGUAACAACAUUAUUGUAUUGUUCUGUGCCUCUAAAACUGCCUGAUAGACACUUAUUUGCCUAUUAUCACAUCUUUUUCUUAAUGGUAUUUCAUUACAUCUAAUUUCAAUAUGUGCUGGCAAAACAUCUUUUUGUGUGUUGCUGAAUCAUAUAUUUACUUGGAGUUCGUUACAAUGAACAGUCUUAUUAUUUUAUGUGAUUUGCUGAAAUAUUUUCUUGUACCUGAAGUGUUUUUCAAUGGAAAACUUAAGCAUGAAUUCCUACUUGGACAAUACUGUAAAAUCUGGAAAGGACCACCACCAACAUGAUGGAGUAUUCCACUUCUGUGGAAGUUAUUGUUCAGAUGUCUUCCACAUAAAAUGGAGCUGUGGGCCAUUUGUGCAAAAUUUCUGAACAUUUGCAAAGUAUCAGAUCUGAGCAGUCAAGAAUUAAGCAUGAUGACAGCUUCUUGCUUCUUCCACAAAUUCUCUCUCCUAAGAAAUAUGGACCAUUCCUUCGUCCAAAAAGUGUAUUAAAAAACAUAAUUUAUGAGUCAUAACACCUAUGACUUAAUACAUAGUUUAGAAUAAAGUUCUACUUAGAAAAAUAUCUUGGUUUUAAUGUUGAUCAAUAAUUGAUGUCCAAGAAAAAGUGUGAGGAAGGGUUCCUGUAUAGAGUGAUCCUUCCUUGCUAUGACUACUUCUGGCAAUCAGUAAACUAAGUUUAGUUUUUGUAUGAAGGUAUAAACCCCUCCUUUCCUGUAUCUGGUUACAGGACUUAAUUGUGCAAUCUUUUUUCCUAAGCUCAUUCUUCAAUAAAUUGCUGCAUGCCACA